CCCGAAAGGUCGAACGAUGAGAUUUAUUUACUUUUUAUCGUAUAUUAACCAACUUGUAUUUGUUAGUGACAAAAUUUAUUAUUUUUUUUUUAUUUAUAAAUUUUUUUAUGGUAUUUUAAUUUAUAAAAUUAUUGCACUACUAUAUGUUGUCGUAUAAUAACGAGGUAUGCACUUCUCGUCUAGUAGGACGUCGCGACCCGUUAAAUAUUGAUUUAUGAAAUAUUUUUGUGCAUUGUAUAUUAUACUAUGAUUUUUUUAUUAUUUGUGUGAUAUAUGCCUAUAUUAUCUAAUCAAUUGUUUGACGGUAUAAAUACUUAUAAUAAAAGAUUAAGUGUUUAUGUAUAUAUUUUUUUGUAUGCAUAAUACACGUUUAUUAACUAGAACGAGUAUAUAUGGGUUCUAUUUGGGAGAUUUUUUUUUUUUUCUUAAUAAAACAAAUGAUUUAAUAAUUUGGUUUUUAUACCAAUAAAUCAUACUAUAUUACUGUCAGUUUUAGCAAUAUAUUUGAACAAUAAUCUUUUUGUCAGCGACGCUAUAGCUUUGGGUACUUUCAGGACCCGUCUGGAAACACGGACCAAGGAGUCUAGCAUGUGCGCAAGUCAUUGGGAAUAAAAUAUUUUUUCAUCGAAAUAUUAAUAAAUUUUAUGAAACCCAAAGGCGAAAUGAAAGUAAAAUAAUUUAUUAAAGGAGAUUUUUUUUUUUUUUUUAAAUUUGAGGGAGGAUAUAUUUUUAUUAUGUAUUAAAUAUCGCACUCCCAGGGCAUCUUAUACUAUUCUUAUAAUUAUGUUUUUUUUUUAAAGAUUUUUAUUAUGAAUAAAGGUGCACCUAGAGCGUACACGCUGGGACCCGAAAGAUGGUGAACUAUGCCUGGUCAGGACGAAGUCAGGGGAAACCCUGAUGGAGGUCCGUAGCGAUUCUGACGUGCAAAUCGAUCGUCGGAACUGGGUAUAGGGGCGAAAGACUAAUCGAACCAUCUAGUAGCUGGUUCCCUCCGAAGUUUCCCUCAGGAUAGCUGGCGUUCAUCAUUCAACGAGUCUCAUCCGGUAAAGCGAAUGAUUAGAGGCCUUGGGGCCGAAACGACCUCAACCUAUUCUCAAACUUUAAAUGGGUGAGAACUCUAGCUUGCUUAAAAUCAUAUAUAUUUAAAGAAUUUUUUUUUUUUUAUAUAUGUGAAGCUAUGAGAAUAAUAUUUUUGUAUUUUAUAUUUAUGGAUCAAAAUGCCAAGUGGGCCACUUUU
rnacentral:rRNA from 1 species